rnacentral:rRNA from 1 species
GAGAGGGAGCCUGAGAAACGGCUACCACAUCUAAGGAAGGCAGCAGGCGCGUAAAUUACCCACUCCCAGUUCGGGGAGGUAGUGACGAAAAAUAACAAUACAGGACUCAUAUCCGAGGCCCUGUAAUUGGAAUGAGUACACUUUAAAUCCUUUAACAAGGACCUAUUGAAGGGCAAGUCUGGUGCCAGCAGCCGCGGUAAUUCCAGCUUCAAUAGCGUAUAUUAAAGUUGUUGCGGUUAAAACGUUCGUAGUUGAAUUUGUGCUUCAUACGGGUAGUACAAACCAUAAUUUUGGACUGUACAUUACCUUAUGUAUGCAAGCGUAUUACCGGUGGAGUUCUAAUAUUUAAUGGUGCUUUGCAUUAUUAUUUAUACCUCCUAUUUAAACCUGCUUCAGUGCUCUUCAUCGAGUGUUGUUGUGGGCCGGUACAAUUACUUUGAACAAAUUAGAGUGCUUAAAGCAGGCUCCAAAUGCCUGAAUAUUUUGUGCAUGGAAUAAUGAAAUAAGACCUCUGAUCUACUUUCAUUGGUUUUUAGAUCAAGAGGUAAUGAUUAAUAGAAGCAGUUUGGGGGCAUUAGUAUUACGACGCGAGAGGUGAAAUUCUUGGACCGUCGUAAGACUAACUUAAGCGAAAGCAUUUGCCAAAGAUGUUUUCAUUAAUCAAGAACGAAAGUUAGAGGU